AUUGAACGCUGGCGGCAGGCCUAACACAUGCAAGUCGAGCGGCUGCAGGGAGCUUGCUCCUGGAUCCAGCGGCGGACGGGUGAGUAAUGCCUAGGAAUCUGCCUGGUAGUGGGGGAUAACGUCCGGAAACGGGCGCUAAUACCGCAUACGUCCUGAGGGUGAAAGUGGGGGACCUUCGGACCUCACGCUAUCAGAUGAGCCUAGGUCGGAUUAGCUAGUUGGUGGGGUAAAGGCCUACCAAGGCGACGAUCCGUAACUGGUCUGAGAGGAUGAUCAGCCACACUGGAACUGAGACACGGCCCAGACUCCUACGGGAGGCAGCAGUGGGGAAUUUUGGACAAUGGGCGAAAGCCUGAUCCAGCCAUGCCGCGUGUGAGAAGAAGGUCUUCGGAUUGUAAAGCGCUUUUGGUUGGGAGGAAGGGCAGUAAGUUAAUACCUCGCUGGGUUGACGGUACCGGAAGAAUAAGCACCGGCUAACUUCGUG
rnacentral:rRNA from 1 species